UAGGCAGCCUGAGGGGGCUCGGCUUCCCUCCGCUCUCACCCCCGUCAAUGGCUCCCGGGGUUGGGAGGCGGCGGGCGCCCGGGACACUUGGAGCGGCGGAGGCGGAGACUGCCGGGGCUUGCGGCUGACCAUGUAGAGGGAGCAGCGCCAUGGCCGAGAGCAGUGGCAGCGUGCAGGCGGUGAAAGUGUGGCGGGAGGCGGCGCUGCGCUGCAGGAAACUCCGCCGCAACCUCCGGCAGCUGAGCCUGUGCAGCGCCGGCGAGCAGCGCCUGGCGCUCCCGGACAACAUCGGCCAGGUGCAGAUCCUCGACCUGGCCAACAACUCGCUGCGGGAACUGCCCGACGGCCUGGACGCCUCCCUCACCCGACUGCGGGCGCUGAUCCUGCGGAGGAACCGGCUGUGCCGCCUGCCCGCUCCCGUCUGCGCCCUGGAUCAGCUGGCCGAGCUCGACCUGGCUCACAACUGCCUGGCCCAGCUCCCCGGCGAGCUGGGGCGGCUGCAGCGCCUCCAGAAACUGUGCCUGAGCCACAACAAGCUGCAGCUGCUGCCGCCGCAGAUCGGAGCCUUGCACUGCCUGGAGGAGCUCGACAUCAGCUUCAAUGAGCUGAGCCAGCUGCCGCCCAGCUUCGGGCAGCUGCAGAGGCUGCGGACGCUGGACCUGGAUCACAACCGGCUGACCACCUUCCCCCAGCAGAUCCUGCGCCUCGGAGACCUGGAGGAGCUCGACUUCUCCGGCAACAAGAUCGACGCCCUGCCCCACGAUAUUCUGCAGCUGCGCUCCAUGAAGAUCCUGUGGCUGAGCAGCCUGCGGCUCUCCGACUUGCCGGACACCUUCUGCCAACUCACCGAGCUGGAGAGCCUGAUGUUGGACAACAACGCCUUGCAUUCCUUACCCGAGAGUUUCGGCCGCCUGGACAAGCUCAAGAUGAUCAACCUGUCCUCUAACCUCUUCGAGAACUUCCCGAGCGCCCUGUUGGAGCUGGUUAAUCUGGAGGAGCUGUAUUUGAGCAGGAACAGGCUGUCCGUGAUCCCCCAGAAGAUCUCCAACAUCUCCAAGCUGGCCACGCUGUGGCUGGACAACAACAAGGUGCGCUACCUGCCCGACUCUAUCGUCAGCCUGUGUCACCUGGAGGAGCUGGUGCUGCAGGGCAACCAGAUCGCCAUCCUCCCCGACUCGUUCGGCAAGCUCUCCAAGGUCAGCUUGUGGAAAAUCAAGGACAACCCUCUGAUCCAGCCGCCCUACGAAGUCUGCAUGAAGGGCAUCCCCUACAUAGCCGCCUACCAGAAGGAGCUGGCGCUAUCGCAGCCAGCGCUCAAACCCAGGCUCAAACUGGUGCUCAUGGGUGCCAGGGGCUCGGGGAAGACCUCGCUGAGGCAGUGCCUGGUCGGAAGCAACCCCACUCCCCCGACCAUGCACAGUAACGGCAUCGAGGUGACCCAGUGGGUGGCUGAUGCCGAGAACAACCUGACCUUCAUUGUCUACGAUCUAGCGGGGGAUCCCAAUUACGACCCCAUCCGCCCGUUCUUCCUCUCUCCCGGCGCUCUCUAUGUCUUGGUGGUCAGUCUAAAAGCCUACGAGCCCUGCCGCUUCUACGAGCAGGUCGGUUAUUACCUGCACUUGCUCGGGGCCAGGGUCCCCCACGGGGUGGUGUGCGUGGUGGGGGCACAUGUGGACGAAUGCAGCGAGAGGGAGGUGGAGGAGAAAUGCCUGGACAUCCACCAGCAGAUUUCGGUGCAGGAGAAGCGCGACGUGGAGUGCAUGCAGGCUGUGGCCGAGAAGGUGGACGGGGCUCUCGGCCAGGGCCAGGGGCUGGAUCUGCGGGCUGCUAGCCCGCACGCCCCUUUCUACGGCGUGUCCGACAAGAACUUGCGGAGGAGGAAGGCUCACGUCCAGUACCUGCUCAACAACCGCCUGCAGAUCUUGUCUCCGGUCAUCCCGGUGAGCUGCCCAGGACACCUGGGCGGCAUCGGCCGCCUGAAGGACAAGCUGCUGUCGGUGGCCGAGCACCGGGAGAUCUUCCCCAACCUGCACAGGGUGCUGCCCAGGUCCUGGCAGAGGUUGGAAGAGCUGCACUUUAAGCCUCAGCAGCUGUGGCUGUCCUGGUGGGACUCUGCGCGCCUGGGGCUGCAGGCCGGCCUCACCGAGGACCGCCUGCAGAGCGCCCUGUCCUACCUGCACGAAAGCGGCAAGCUGCUGUACUUCGAGGACAGCCUGACCCUCAAGGAGUGCGUCUUCCACAACCUGACCAAGCUGAUCGACAUCCUCAACGUGUUCUUCCAGCGCGACGCGUCGGUGCUGCUGCGGAAGGUGCUGCCGGACGGCCGGGUGGACGAGCUGAGGGCGGCUCAGCUCCAGCACUUCGUGGAGGGUUUCCUGCUGCACGGCCUCCUCCCGCUGCACGUCGUCCGGCUGCUGCUGAAGCCGCACAUCCAGACGCAGCAGGACCUGCACCUGAUCCUGGAGCUGCUGGAGAAGAUGGGGCUCUGCUACUGCCUCAACAAGCCCAAGAUGACGCCUGUGAACGGGGCGGCGGUGUGGUUUAAGUUCCCGUGCUAUGUGAAAAAUGAGGUGCCCCACGCUGAAGCGUGGAUCAACGGGUUUAACCUCUCGGGGCAGCCCAUUGCAGUCGAGCAGCUGCAGGUGGAGUACAGUUUCCCCUUUCUGUUCCCGCCAGGGCUGUUUGCCAGGUACAGCGUCCAGAUCAACUCUCAUGUCGUGCACCGAUCGGAUGGUAAAUACCAGAUCUUUGCUUACCGGGGCAAGGUUCCCGUGGUCAUCAGCUACAAACCAUCCCAAAGCUGCUUGCAAGCGGACACCUUAUCUAUUGCCAGCCACGCCACCUUGCCAAAUAUUUGGACUGCAUGGCAAGCCAUAAUCCCUUUGGUGGAAGAACUAAACGUGCUGCUCCAGGAAUGGCCGGGGUUAUACUUUUCUGUGCAUGUCCUGUGUUCCAAGUGCCUUAAAAGAGGGUCGUCAAAUCCUCACACCUUCCCAGGGGAGCUAUUGACCCAACCCAGGCCUGAAGGAGUGACUGAGAUUAUCUGCCCCAAAAAUGGGAGUGAGCGUGUGGAUGUGGCCCUGGUUUAUCCCCCGACCCCCACUGUGAUCAGUCCCUGCUGUAAGUGAGCAGUGGGCCACCCUGCUAGUCUUCCUCAGAAAAGAUACCUUUAAAAUUCUGUUCAAAUAUUUGGCAGACAACAAGUUUUUUUAGCAAGAAUAAGGUUGAUGUUCAGCUGAGGCAUUUGUGAACAGUUGAGGAAUGUCUAUUCGUCCUUGGAUAUGUGAAGAGAAGAAUUGAUGCUCUACACAUGGAUGCUCUUUUACAAUGGAUUCAAAGCAGCUCCACAAUAGGCACAAGUCAUUGAGGAUCUUGCACCCGACCAACUGACUGUCGCUAUACACAAAGCUUAGAAAGCUUUCUCGUCCACUUUGAACUGUCCUCCUUUGGAAGGGGAACAGUGGAUUUUUAUCAUUUGAAAGCAGAUUGACCCACUCAAUCAAUUCUUUUGAUGGAUAAAUGCAGUGUAUACAAUCUACAAAAUGCACAGGAGUUAUUCACUUAGGCUAUUCCAACAGCAUUUCCCAAAUCUGUGAUUGCUACCAGCAAGGAGGACAAGGGCAGCAGGCACAUAGGAAAACCACCACCUGCAGGCUCCACUUACAAGUCGCAGACCAUCCUGACUUGGAAGUAAAUCGCUAUUCCUUCAUCAUCGCUGGAUGCAAAUCCUUGAACUCCCUAUCCAACAGCACUGUGGGAGUUCCUUCACCAGAAAGAUGGCACUGUUUCAAGGAGGUGGCUCAUUUGAGGGCAAUUAGGGAUGGGCAAUAAAUCUUAGUGUCGCCAGCAAUGCCCACAUUCCUUAAAAAUGAAUAAAUAAUAAGAAAGACACACAGAGUUCCACCAACUAUUUCUGGAACAAGUGGCUCCUCAGGGAUUUUCUUUUGCAGUGUUUAAUGAAAGCCAUACUUAGUGUUGUCUAAAGUGUUGUAGGAAUAAAAUGCCAAAAGUAAUUUAUCUUUUCUUGAGUGGGCUCAGAUCAGAGUCUGCAAAAGCGUAUCAUCACCAUUUUAUUUUCUAAACUUACUGAAAUGUUUAAUUUAGAGUCUGCUUCAUUUAAAAAAAAUGUGUUUGUGCAAUACUCAAUGUGACAAAACAGUCUUUUCACAUUUGCUUUCUUCCGCCUUUAUUGGAACCAGUUUUAAGAAAGGCUCUUAAUAGACCCUGAUCAAUCUCAUCAAUCUGCCUGGGCAUGAAAAGUUGGAUAAAAUUAUCAAUGCCAAAUCAUCUAUAUAUAUUUGUUUCGAGGUAUUCAUUAAAAUAUAAUUCUGGGGAACAAUUAUUUACAAGUUGCAUUUUUGUAAACAAAACUAUAUCUCAAAAUCUCAAAAUUUUCAUUGGCAACACCCCUUCCCAAAGCACCCUGUUGCGGUGUGGGUUCUUCAUGUUCGGUUCAUCUCAGUGAUAGCAUUCUCAUCCCAAAGUCAGAAGCUUGUGAGUUCAAGUUCCACUUCCAAGACCUGAGCUCAUGUACCAGGCCGACACUACAGGGCAGUAUUGGGCAGAGCCAUGCCACUGGAGCUGCCUUUUGCCAAAUGAGAUAUUAAACCCUCUUGGAUGAUUGGAGACAAUCCCAUGGUGUUACUUGAAGAGCAGGGGAGUUUCCUUGGUGUGCUGAACAACAUUUAUCCCUUCCACCAAAAGAAAAUUAUCUAAUUGUUCAUUCAUUUGCUGUUUGUGGAAUUUUGCUGUGUGAACAAUGUUGGGCAAGGUUGCCUACAAAAGACUAAUAACACUUCAGGAGUUGAUCUGUUGAAUGUGAAGCGUGUUGGGACAUCCUGAGGGCAUGAUAAGGUAGUACAUAAAGACAAGCUUUUUCUGCUCCGAAGGAAAUUGUAGAACUGUGUAUUGUCAAAUAAAAGUGUUUUUCUUUAUAUCAAUUAAUCCAAAAGGAAGAAGAGAGAAUCAGUGCAGCCUACAAAUAUCUUAUUUUUUACGUCUUGUUAAUAAAACAUGUAUUGCAAUGGAACUGAAACAUUUGCACAUCAGUCACCUUGGAUAUUUAACACUAA